rnacentral:lncRNA from 1 species
GCCACAGGAGGGAGAAAAACAAACAGGAAAGAAUUAAAAGGGUUGGGAUAGGGCUGCAAAGCAACAGGCAUAAAUCACGCAGCUCUUCCCUCCCUGAGCUCCCUUGCAGCCAGCACAUGCACAACACCUCCCUUCUGGAUGAGGCUUUGGCAUGAGAGGCAGAUCCCAUGAAUGCUCCAUCGCGUUACCACAGCAGAGCAGCGCUUGGCAAGCUGAUGCAGGAUACUCCCUCAAGAAAACUUUGAAGGAACAGUGCUGCACGGCUGAACUAGGCAAUUACAAAUAUACCAGACACAGGGCUGAGACCCACCUCACUUCUGUUCUGCUGGAGUUCAUAGAAUCACCAAGGUUGGGAAAGGCCCACAGGAUCACCCAGUCCAACCAUCACCAACAGUUCUCAAGAGUUGCAGCACAGUGAAUCACUCCAACCUUCCCUCAAGGAGGGACAGCACAAUAGGAUCAGCCUCUUCUGCACUGCUCUGAAAUCACAAUUCAGAAAAUGGACAAAGUGGAUAAUAAAUUACUCUUCUUAUGCCAGGUAUUUUCCAUUUUGUGUUUUAACCGUUGUUGGUUCUUGGCACUGUUAAACUGUUAAUGGUAAAUUCAAAAGGAAUUGAGGACCUGGCUUCCUGGAUCGUAGUUUUUGGCUUUCCUGCACAAUAGGAUGAAGCCUGAAAGUCCCUUUUGUUACAUGCAGGUACCCAACUCUACUUCGUUACCAAUUAUCCUUCCUCAGUCUCUCCAUCCCUGUAUUACAUAAGGGUUCAGGUGAGACUCCUAAGAUAUCUGACUGCUUUAGCAUGUUUGGUUUUAUGUCUUUGUUACUUUAUAUCUCUCUUUGGCAGUUACAUCUACCUACAUAAUUGCUCUCAUUAAAAGGCUUAGUCAUGGUCUGAAGUAAGUGUAACCCACUGUUAUCUGUGCACUUAAGCAAAUUUCAGCACAGAAAAUUGGGGUAUCAUCUAAAUAUCAGACUACAGGAAGAUAAAACAAUCUAUACUGAAAAUCCAGAAUAAAAAGAAAUAACAGGCUUUGAAGCAGGCCUACCACCGAUUUCAGCUAUCCCCAAAACUGUACCAGGAAGGUUUUAAAUGGGUUUAAACCUCAGAUUUUUCACCUUUGGAAUUCCAGCCCUGUGACUGGUACGUGUGAGCUGAAAGGAGCACAGUCUGCACAGCGCAGUGCUGCAGGAGUGGCAGUUCUCUGAAACUGGAACCAGUCUUGGAAUUACAGUGGUGCUUCUUUUUCCAGGGAAAGGAAGGGAGUGGAAAUGGAAAAACAUCAGUGAGAAAAACCAAACAGGGCCCAAAAUUCAGAGCUGAGGAAGUCUGCAAUGGAGAAUCUAGUUGAGACAGCUGUGCUGAGGCUGACCUAACCUGGGGCUGACCAAGCAAGUUCCAUGAUGUCAUAUUUUGCUAUGAUGGGCCAUUAAAUUAAGUCGCUGGUCCAGACCUUCCUCCUGACACCUAUUAAAUCUACAGCUUUGGAGCUGGAGUUGUCAAGGUAGCACUGCAUCAGAUACCAGGGGAAUCCACGCACACUGUUACAGAAGAUUGCUGCUUGCAUAAAACCUCUUUGCUCUUUUCUUGAUUGUAUAUUCAGGAUAUAUUUUGCAGGCAUAGUCUACGAUUAGAUUAAACAAGCAAAGGAAUUAUUUAUUGCCUGUCCCACUGCACCUACUGCUUAACACCAGAUGAAACUAAAACAAUGGCUUCUGAGCUUGGGUCAAUAGUCUUCCUCUAUAGUCUACCCUCAAUUUCAAAAGCAUAGAGAAAAAAUGGUUAAUUCUACGGUGCCUGCGUUACAAAAAGGAGGAUUCAUUCAUAUUUACAGCAGCCACAAGAACUUCCAAAUAUAUAUUUUUCCAACCUGAAGGGUUUCAGUGACUUGUUCUACAUUUCCAUAGUAGACAAUAGAUCUCACAUAGCACUGUGAUCCAAUCUGCUUUUCUUUGCAGCAGGUAAUUGUAGGACGUUUUUAGGGAUACCUGUAACCUCACAACAUUGCCCUGCCUACUUCAAAAGAAGCUGUCAUCAAAAAGUAUUACCAGUCAAAAGAGUCAGUGAUACAAUUAUCUUUUUAAACAAACCCAGAAUAGUGGAUCAAACGCACACUACUUUUGAUUAUCCUCAGUCAAGUUUUCUUUAGGGGAUUCUCUGAGCAUCUCCUUCCCCUCAUUCGAAUUAUCAAACUCUCAUUUCUAGACCUCAGAGAACACCUACACGCUCCCUUCUGCUUCCUUCUUCCCACAACCUGAAGUUAAAUGUGGAGCACUUCCUCUGCCACCACUCUUGAAGCCUCAGUGGCCCACCCAACAAUGCCACUCUGUGGCUGGACAGGUAGAGAGAUGUUCUUGCAAUACUCAUUCCUCUUGACAAAUAUCAAUUAUUGUGACCAGGUCUUUUAACAAAAUAAAUACUGACUAGCAGCUAAGAGACUGGCUACUGGCUGCUUCUCACCUCCACCAGGAGCCCUGAAGUGCAGGACAGAAUCCAGGAAAGAUUUUCUGGAAAAUGAAGAGACCCAAUAAAGCCUCUAAGCCCAGGCAAGUCAAUAAACUGUCACAGUUGCCCGGAAGGAAUUGGCUCGUCUUAGAUAAACUCACAAAGGCCCUGAAAAAACACAACUUUUUUUUUUUAAAUGGCAGAGAUUAAUUUUCUGACUUCAAAGUAGUAUUAAUGCAGAACUUGGCUAAGGUUUCCUGUGCAAGCAGUUUCCCCCCGAGCAAUGAUUUCAGAAUCCGCCUUGUUUUAAGGCUGGCAUUUGCUGCAGCUGCAGACCUGGAGUAUUUUCGAUCCCCUCUGAGUGCUGGAACACUAUCCAACAAUUAAACCACAACCCAAAAACAAUCAAACAUCUGUUUGGAGGAAGGCUGCUCAGUGACUGACAUUCUCAUGCCAGCAUAAACACGAAAGCUGCUGAGUGAUUCCUGUCUUUUGUGUAUAUAUGUAUACGUAUGCACCGCUUGUGUAUUUUUUGUUCCUGCAUGCAGAAUAUGUAAAUAUGCUUAAGAGCAUUUUUAUUGCAAUAUGUGGGUGUACUUGUAUAGCUUAUUUGUGGAAGUAUUUUCAUUGGCGUGAACACACAGAUUUGAAUGUCAGCUUGAGAUGUGGUUAUUUGUGUGCUGGAGGUGGUUUUGCAGGAGGCCAAAGCGAACGUGGAUUGGGAGUCUGCAAGCAGGUAUGUGUUUAUGCAGUGCUGCAUGUGUUGGUGUACGUUCAUUUACAGGUAUCAGCUUGAUUUCAUAUGGGCAAAAAUAGCAUUACGGCUGCAUGUAGUUUUGUGGAGAGGCAAGGAUUCUGAAGUGUUUGCAUGUGUGUGUGCACGUGGAACUGACUGCAGCAAGGUGUCUGUGCUUUCUGAUGGACAACUGUCCUAUGCCUGACCUCCACACUCUGCCUUUGAACUAAUCAGAUACUUGGGCUAUAGCAGCCGAUGUCCCUUAUUUUAAGCACCAAAAAGGGACAGACUGCUGGAAGCAGUUCAGAAUUGCGUUCAAAACAGCAGUGAGGUCUGGUCCUGAUGAAAUCCCAGCCUCCUAAAAGUACUGAUUUCAAGAACUCCCAUGGGAACACAACAGGGUAUUGAAGGAUGACUUGUUUCAAGGGCUUUGGAAACAGGAAUGAAUGCUGACAUUAGUUCUCUCUGUCUAGAGAGCAAAUUGCUCUCCUUCCUAAAAGCACUUUUCAGACUCCAUGCAGGUAACUCUUUUUGUCCUAUUUUAUUUAUAGAUUUCAAAUAAUGACGGCCUGGGUAAAGCAGUAUGCAAAUGACAUUCAUUCCCAACAGGAACUCCCUCUGUGUAAAACCAAGACCAGCUUUCAGAAAAUACAACUGUUCCCAAUCCAAGCCAAAUGACAGCUUGUGCUGCUCCCACCGGUUAUCCCCGAACCCCCAAGGUCCACAGACUGCUGCUUGCCAUUUGUGGUGUCUUUAUAUACCUAGAAAUAUGUGAGUCACCACAGCAGGUGCUAGCCAUAACCUGCUUGCCUGAAAACAUCAGUAUCAGAAGUGACAGAAUCUGGGCCACCCACUGGCUGUAUUUCUGGAGCAUCCCUCUGUCUAGGAGGGAGCAGCUGGAGAUCUUUGCUUUAGAGCAUUUAUCAAAUAUCCUGUUGCUGGAGUAUAAGAACACGCCAUCACAGGAAAGACAGACUUGAUGAUCUUCCCACUGUGAGCCCCACAGCUUAACUUAUUGUUGUAGGCUCCUAAUCUUUUGCACCAGCCCUAUUUUUCUUUUCAGCAGUUUAAGCUGAAAAAGUUUACUAGAUAAUAGAUUUGCCUCAGAAAUCACAGGAGGUUCUAUUCCUUAGCAGUUAAGCCAGAGUAAGGCAUGGAGUGCAGUAGAGGAGCACAGAGAAAUGGUAUUCUCCUGCCAUGCCCCCUGCCCAGGUACGCUUCCAUUUGAACUCUUGCAAACACCAGACUACAGCAUUGGUUAGGAUGCUUUAGCAGAUCUGGCGCUGAUGACACGAGACACAGGCAGGCUGAGCCCUUCCCCCUGCCCUCAUGCUGGCCAUUUCAGUGCUAUUCCAGGACGAGCUCCUGGAACUCAGCAAUGCAAAGAUGACAUAAGUGCAAUGUUCAGAGGUUAAAGCUUCCAUCCAUUUCUGAUACUCCUCACAAUACUCAUUUCUUACUUCAUCACAAAUUUUUGUCCUCUUUUUGCACACAGAAGCCAUACAUCCUGACUACAAGAAUCAGCACAAAGAAAACGUGAUGGAUGAUGCUCAUGUGUUUAUACUACACAGCUAUUCUGCUGCAUGGCUUCUCAGAAGCCAUGUCAGUAGCUUGCAUGGUCUGUGUGCUACUGAGUGACCAGAUAAUGACUCUUAACCCUACGUAACAUAUAUAGGAAAUACUUUUAAUAGUGGUUUAGUAAUGAUUGGGUUAGAAGGUGGUCCACUGGAAACGGCAGGCAGUGAGAAAUUUUUCUGAGAGGUUAAGAAGUCAUAGGAUCCACUUAACGCAUAUCAGUUACAUCCCUGACUUCCUAAAGCAUAGCCUAGGAAUAGCUAAGCUCCUCUUUUAACGCUGUAUGUGUGGCAGAACUGGUUCUACAAAAAGUGUAGGAUAAAGAAUGAACUACUGCUGAGUUUAUUCAGGGCCUAUUCAAUUUACACAUGUUGGCAUGCUGUCUUGUAUUUGUUGUUGUGGUUUAUGCAUUUUUCAUUAAAGGAGGAUCCUAGGUGCCAAAAUGUUAACCAUCACUGCUGCUAAUAUUAUUUAGAUUUGCCCUGGGUUCAUAUUAGAAAACAUGCAGAAAAUUUACAAGUACAGAAAGUCUUCUCAUUCAUGGAUUUCUUCCAGCUCUGCUCAUCCCUUUUGUGCUUUCCAAUCCUGUACUAAUUUAUAAGCACUGAUGGAAAUCAAAUCCUUCCUGGUUCCUGCUCCUUCAGUACCACUAACUAUGGCCCUGUUAAUCCGUCCUCCAAUGCUUGUAGCAUAUGAAUAUCUCGGAAUCACUGCUGCUUUGCAGGCUUCUAUGCUAAAUUAAAACACAGCAAAUACGACAUGCGGUCUCUCCGAUUCCAUACAAAGACCCUACAGUAACUCAGGAACAGCCACCACCUGACUCCAGUACUUCAGCUGCCAUGUCAUCAUUAACCUGAACCCGUUUUUAUCCACAGAUUCAAUUGAAACCAGCUACUCAUCAUGAUUUAUGAGAGUCUUUGGGACAGGAGCUGAUCACAUGUAAGCAAGUCUUCAUCUCUAAGAAGCACUCUGAGUUUCUAUUCUGACAAUCUUUGAAUUCUCUUCUUAGGAGUUGGAAAACAUCACUUAGUAGAACUGGGAGGAGGUGUUACAUUCUUAAGCCACAUGUUACACAAGAUAUGUCUGCAAGCAAACCGACAACAGAAGGACUGCUCUUUAUUGUACAAUGCCAUGUUCACUCCUGGCUUUUUCCAACACAGGACCCCUCUACAGGGCAUAACGCAAUGAUUAUGACAAAGGCACUUAAUCAACAUUAGCAGCUGCUCAAUUUCUAACUCUUGUUUUCCCACAAACUCCAUCUCCAGGAAAAUACAGAGUGCAACUCAAGGAAGCUCUCAGCUGUCCUCCACUUCGUGCAUUUCCAAAGCAGAUGUAAAACAACUUCUGGUCUCUCUUAUGUUCCUAUCUUGUUGAUCUGUGAUUUAUGACUGUAAGACCUUGGAACUUUGAACUGUUCAAUUCAAAUGCAUUCUUUUUUCGUUGUAGGAGUUUUAAGUAAUAUCUGAAGCUCUUAAUUUGUGGAUUAGCACAUUUACCUACACCACAAUUAGUCCAACUCUGAGAAAGCCCAAGACUAACUUUUGGUUCAUUACUCUGUCAAUCAAUAAGCAUCACAUGUGCUACCAGCCAUUCACCUAUAGGAAUGCUCCAGUUUGUUUCUACAUUCCCAGUCACCACUGAUUCAUCUGUCCAAGUCAUAUAACUGUUUUCUUUCUUGGUCAGUAAACUAGAUCAAAGCCUUGAUAUUUUUUAAGAAAAAUCUUGUAUUAAAGAGCAUGUGAGACCCUGAGAAGGUGGAGGCAAACACAUUUGCCACACCAGCGCUCAUCUCAGCUGACAACAGCAGCUUCCUGUGCUCUGUCCUGGGGGGAUAAGGGGCUGUUAAAUCCUCACAUCUGCCACCCCAGUGCACAGCUGUGAGUGGCUCAGGGAGAACCAUCCCUGCUUGCCCAGCUGCCCCCUUCUACUCACUGUCACUCAGCAAGUAACUAUUUCACAGGCCUCACAGAAAACAAUGGGAGCUUUCAGGAAUGAAAUAAAAUCUUUACUCUGAUAGGAAGGCAGCUGUGAGACACAUGAAAGCUUCUGCUUGCUGUCUCUUACUUGUCUCACAAGGUUCAGAUCGAAGGAGUCACAGCAAACCAUCUACAGUGAAACCCUUCACAAAGGUCAGUGCUGGAAAGAGUCUGAACAUGUGGUACCCUGCAGAAAGAUGUGUGGAUAGACAGAUAAACAGCUCACUGACAAGGUAGAUGGAUGCAGAAUGAGGAGGAGCAUACAUGGAAACAGAAUAUAAAAGGAAAAAAGUGAUCAAGAAAGCAAAUUGAUUUUCACUGUUUGUUUUGACAUCCCCAAAGAGGACCCCGUGAUCCUGAGGAAAUCCUGAGGAAUCAUUGCUCUCACUGCUGAUAUUCAGCCACCUUUGGGGCAGAAGGCUGCAGCCUUUAACAGCACUCACUUAUCCUAUAAACCAGUUUAUCACAAACUCACCUCAUAUUAAGGUGCUUUAUAACCCUGGGGGAAAAGUAUCACCUGUUAAAGAGCAAUUACCUCUGCAUUUCCCUUUAGGGCUAUUUUCUCAUCUAAGAACUGAUGAGGUCCAACGCUACUUCAGCUUGCUAAUUAUUCUAACUUCAGGACGUUAGUGCUGCUGAUUAGGAAGUGCGCUGCACCCAGAACAUAGAUGAAUUUAUUUCCUACGGGUAUGCAAUGCUGCACACUUGCAGUGUACUCAUACAGCACUGAGAAGUUAGGAAAAUUAACCCAUGUGGUAAUGUGCCCAGAUGCCUUCCAAUAGCUAGGAGGUCAUAUUUAAACGUUUAUUCCACCCGAUGACAAAUCUGAAUUCACAUCCUUAUACUGUCCUUCUGUCUCCUACCACCUCACUUCCCAGCUCCUGUACUCUCCCUGAGGCACUUCUCUAUCUUUUCCCCUCCUUCCUCUCUUGCUCACACUGGACUAUAAAUAAGUCUGCUUAACACAAACAUGCUUGCUCUGAGUAGUUACUUAUAUGAAAAAUAAUACAUGUUUGUAAGCUUCUUUGUCUUUCCCUUCUUCUACAUUUCAGUUUUGAUUUUCUCUUAUGUUUUGAACAGAUUCCUAUUUUCUACGCUUGAAUAACACUCCUGAAAAUGCUUCUUGUUGGUGUAAAUUUGACCUGUGCUGGUACAGCACGAAUCCUUGCAUUUCCCCUGGUGUUACAUUGCAGGUAGGGAAUAAGGUUUUACUGCUGAUAAUACAGAGGAGUUCUUUAUCUUACAAGGUAAGGAUUCAGGCUUUCAGCUCGGAAGCUCAAGAGCUCAAUGCCAUUGAUGACCCAGGGGAGGAGCUGUGAUACAGGAUCCCAUCACUGAUUUCCACGCUGCCAUCUCAUCAUCAAGUAGUCGAAACCCUUAACCCAUGUGAGCACUUCACCAUGCUAGAGAACUCAGCUCCUCACAGAACAGAAAACAAUGACCACUUGUUAAGCAUUUGUUUGAAAGAGGAAGAAAAAGAGUAUUACAAUGAGUGAUUUCAAUCUCUGUGCUGUCAGCUGAAGGUUCCAUGCUGCCAGAAACAAACAAAUGUAUUCCCUGUUUACAAAUGAUACCAAACAUUUUUAACCUCAAAGACUUUUGUAUCUUAUGUUGGGGAUUUUUUGGCGAGUGAAAAGAAAUAACUUUAGUAUUUAAAAAGUAGCGGUAUUUGAGAAUUUCAUUUGAUUACGUUUGUUUGAUAAUACACAACUGCUCUAAAACUGACAACUUCGCUAUGAUAAAAACAAAACAGCUUGGAGGAAAUAAAACGCCAAUAAUAUUUGCAAACUACAUAAAAGCACUUAGUGGGAAAAAUGCUAUUUCACUAACAGUAAGGAAUGACAGGUUAGUUAAAAAUAGAUAAAAGCUCAUAAAACAAAAGGGAACAAAAGUCAUAUAUAUCUAUUAAUUACUAGGUAGCUAGCCUGACUGUGCUGCUGCUAGCAAAAGUGCAGCUGCAUCAUUACUGGAAAAAUGGGACAGGCUAUGUACACAAAUAGGGCUGGAGUUCAAGCAUGCCUGCCCAAAUCCUCUCUGCUACUCCAUUUAGUGCAUUCUUUCUUAUCAUUCAAAGGGCUGCAUUGAAAUGUGCUGAGCUUCACUGUGCUCUGGAUCAGGGUUAAUGCACGUCUGAAUCCUCUGAGCUGGAGAGCUACUACUUAAAGCCAGUUUUGAGCAUUAGCAGAUUAUUUAAAAAUACCUUUGGAUGAAGAUGUAACAGCUCAGAUGGUGUGCAAUAAAAAACAAUGUACAUCUAGAAAGCUGCUGAGAGCUCAAUGGUUGAACUCAUAGAACGUUUCCUUCACUUGGACUCCAUCAGCAAGCAAGCUCCUACCAGUUCAUCUCUUGCCUUCAUUUACAAAUGCAGAGGAUUUAGCUCUCAGUCUCACUUUGGAGUCUCCAUUAGGACAUCUCCCCAAGUUAUGCUUAAAUCUGGUUCUCAUUUGUUCUUCUCCUGAAAUUAUUCAGGCUACUGUCACUACAUGAUUUGUCUUCAUGACUUCCAAAGGAUGAGUGCUGAGAUGGGAUUUGGACAGAAGGAUAAUACUGAGAGGUGAAACCAGGAAGACCUACACAUUUCUCAAAGGGCCACAAUCAGAAUUCCUUAUUUCCAGAAACUGGCUUUACAUUAUUUCUUAACAGGAGAUAAAGCAAAUUCUCUUAGAAGACCAAAACUCUUCUUUUCCCCCCUGCAAAACUGCAAUCUUCCAAAAAUGCAACAACUCUUGAAAUUCUUCAGCCCAAUUCACAGAGAAAACUCAGCCUGCCCAAGACCACAACUUUUUGCCUUGCUUGCACUUUGCUCCUCUGGGCUUGAUUGCUAUGCUAAUUAAACAAGACAUUGGUCAGGUUUUAACAUAGAUAUUCUUUUUUUAUUUUGGUUUCAGCUUCUUGAAAGGUGUCCAAGAAUACCAGGCAAGGAAAUGAAAUCUGCAUCCCAAGGAAACAAUCCCUUUCCAAAAUUGUUAAUCUUUCCUUAUGACAUGUUUUGGAAUACGAAUGUAUCCAGAGGGGGUUUAUUCAGCAAUAUGCUGUGCUCAUCCCCACCCAGUGACACUUGGAACACAAGCAGAAACACGUAUGUAUUACAAGGAGCGAUGUUCUACAUUGUUAUUAGAGAACCGGGCUUCCUUCAGCAUGCAACAUUAUCAUAACAAACCCAUGACUACACACUUUAACUGUCACUACAUUGCCUUCCAUAUAUGCUGGGAUCAGCAGAAUUAGAAGCCAGGUCUGGUUGCUACAUAUCACUUCUGAUAAAUUUCUGCAUUACAGCAACUGAAGGCGACUACAGAGCUUUGGCUGUGCCAGAUUCAAUCCAUUCAUAGGUCUGUUCCCCCAGCACGUUUCGUGAAGCUAUUUAGGGGUCAUAUGGAAAUGAAUGCAUGAAGAAGUGAAGAAAAAAGACAUAAUAUUAAACUCUGUAAGUGACUUUUAAGUGAAGACUUUUGCAAAAAGAAAAGACGUAGCAGGUAAGAAAUACAGAGGGGUAUUCUAUGCAUCAUACGGUAUGCAAUGAGCAAUGCUGAAUUUACCAAAAGCUACCAGCAGUUUUGGUUAUUCAGGUGAAGACAACUUAUGCCAAAAAUCUCAGGCAUCUUAAUGUCUCUUGAGACAAAGAUAAAAAAGCAUUCAUAAUCAGAAGUCAGCUCUUAAAACAUACAAUUGGUUCUUAUUUUGAGAAAAGUAGUAACAAGACUUUUUUUAUUUCUUUUUAAUCAAAACAUUGCUCAGAAGCCACAAGUCUCAGAUCAAGAACCAAAUGCGGAAUGCUAAGCGCUCACUAAGAGCUGGCUUGGGCAGCAUGAGUACUACACUAAUUUCUCUUUCAUUCCCUCAGCCCAAAAGCAAAACACAUUUUGCAGCAGCAUCUCAGCUGUUUGCUGAUGACUGAAUCCCAGGCAGGUCAAGAGAAACUUCUUGAACUUCCAAUUUCCAAGAAAGCCAACGAUCCAAGUGAAGUAAGAAGAAAGAAGACAUGCCGUGAAAGACAAAAAGCCUUCUUCAAACACAGCCCUUAAAUAACAGGAUGUGCAUGAAAUCCAAACUUCCUAAUGAAAUAAUUCCAAACCCUUUUGCAAGAAAGAACAGUAUUUUGAUGAAUGGUAUUUGUGACCUUAACGAUAAGCAUUAAUCUGUGCCACUUCAAAACCUCAGAAAAAAGUAGCUGGUAAGUGAGCACCUUGCUAACGAAAACCAGAGGAUGCAUCAUCCUAAUAAUCCAUGAGGAUAACCUGAGGGUAUUUUUUAACAUGACAGAGGCUGUCUCCUUGAGAAGAAAAGGUUAAAGACAACAGAGAGGCGACAGUGACAUCCCAACUACACACCUUAGUGAUAGCACAGCAUGCGCUUCCAUCAAACUACAUGUGGGUUUCUAAAAUACUCUUUCACAAAUCAAGUAAUUUAAGUCCAAAUGAAGUUAAAAACAAACUAAAAAUUUGCAAAUGCUCUGCGUUCACAAAAACAUACCUUGGAGGUUUCACAAAACAGAAUAUUCCCCAAACGGCGCAAUUAUUCUAAUGAAUAUGCCUAUAGAAUAAGUGGCUGCUCAGUAGGAGCAACUAGUGAAGCAUAUUAUGGUGAAAAAGGUAUUUUGCAGGUAUGGCUGUAACUUCAUGAUACCAGCUAGAAAAGAUUCUGCAGGUCUACAGAAGGGCUGUAACGGUGCUCUGCCAAGUUGCUGUCCAGGCAAAUUACACACGCACCGUGUGCUGGUUGCUGGAGAUGGUCUGCUCCGCAGGAGACAGGAUGCAUUGGCAGGCAGAAGCUGAGCAAAUUCCCGUUUGCACAAACCCACAUACAAUGGGAGAGAGAUUAACUGACAGCAACAGGGCUUUUCACAAGCAGACUUCCACCUAUAAAUUAGUACUACUGCAAAAUGAUAAGUGACAGAUGACAGGUUUUUAAAUGAAAUCCAAUGGAAGAAUCUACCUGUCUUGCCCAGAUUCCUACACAUGAAAUACCCUCCUUAGCUGAAUGUGUACCUUGGUACAAUCUCUGACUGGUGUUUUGCAGGAAGUCAGGAUACUUGGGAUCAUCUGAUCUAUAGCUACAUGAGUUUCACUGCCACAUGUACUACAGCAAAAGGCAAAGCAGCGAUCAACAUACAGUGGGCAGACAACGUGGGUAGCGUCAGCUAUGGGUGCUGUGACAGAGUACAGCAAAGUAGGAACCACCCCUUGCAGUGAAGGAAUUCUGAAUAUCAGUCUGAAGUUACAAACAGAUUUUGCUGACUAAGAUAUGAAACAAGCCCAUUUUAAGUAGUUCCAGACCGAUCUGCGUAAAGCAUGCAGUCUGUCUAAUAACAUCUGAUGGGCUGCAAAAGCAGCCAAUGGCUGCAAAGGCCCAGAGUUCCACUGCUGGAUGGAAUCUUUGCAAAUGAGGAGAGCAGUGCUUAUGGUAGAGAAUUCACUAGGAGUCCAAGGGCAGCUUGUAUUGCUAGCAGCAAGGAAUAGUAAAACGGGAGUUCUGUUUGUUUGCUAGAAAGAUCUUGUAGCAAAAAAUACAUUGAAAAUUGAGAAAUAGCUUGCAGUGAUGAACUGGUAAAUGCAACCUUUUUACAGGGGAAUGCCAAAGCAGAUUUUAAACAUUUGGCAGUUUCUCAGAAGCUAGGGGAAGAUUAACUAUGUGAGGGAAAAAUCAGGCCAAGAAACUGAGAACAGCUUUUCAAAAUUAAGGAAAGCCAAGGAGGAACCAAGUCUAAAAAGCAUUUGGAAAGAAAUGUUAAGAUCAUUUCACUUAUAAGAGAUUGAUCUCAGAAUCAGAAGAGUUCUGAACUUGUGGAAGUGGGAAGGAGUCAAAGUUCAGAGGGGGAGCAGCAGAGCCCCAACCUCACAAAGACUACCAAGCAAGGACACACAGCAACCACAGCAAGCAGCAGUGCUCCCAGGGGUGCCAUGGCUAAUGUUGUCUGCAGAGAUGGCUCAUAGGAACGUCACCAAAAUGAACACCCGGCUGACAUCCCCAGCCUCCUCAAGUUUGGUAAAGCUGUGCUCCAGUUUCCAGUGCUUGAAACAGCCUCUGAACACCAGCUCUGCAGGCCUGGACGCAGCACACUGCAUCUCUGCUGCUGCAUUCGUGUUUAUGAAAGCUACAGAAUAUUCCUUUUUAUGCACUCAAAUAACUUUUAAUAUCAAUAGCACCCUGCUGCUAAGAAAUACAACUUAACGGCUGGGUAUUAUUUGUUUUGGAGUAGAAUAUUAUGUUGGGCAGUUUCCCACUGGAAUAUACCUCAGUGUUUUCAAUGUGGCUGUGCAUACCUUGCUUUUUGUAGGCUGUUACAACUGUAAAUGUAUUUUAAAAGCACAUGUACACAUACGUGAAGGAGGAAAUGAGACCAAUAGCUUUUCAAGGUACUAGCAAUAGGAUUAGUUAGAACCAUGCGCUGACUUCAAAAAAUCUCACAUAAGAAAAUCCCACAUAAAACCAGUCUGUAUCUCAAAACUUCACUGCUACCCCAAGGGGGAAGAAAAGGCACUGCAGGACGAAGUGAGAGGCAGCAGCUGUCCUCAAAGGCAAAGGACCUCAGGGGACCCAAACUAUAACGCAAACAUCACCUCUUGCAACAGAGCAGAAGGGAAAAAACUCUCCUUACACUUCAUUUGUAUCACUGUGUAUGCAUUUUUGAUUGAUUCUUAUCAAGACUAUUAUAUUCUACUUCUAGAAUAUGGCAAGUAACAGUGCAGGUAUCUGACUCAAACUACAGAACCUGACAAACAGCACAGCUGCGCCGAAAAUUACUAAGGUGAAAAGGUGGGUGAGAAAAGAGAAAAACUUAAAUAUGGUUUUAGGAGAGAAAAGCUGUUGCUGAAGUCUUUCCUACUUGAGAUGACUCCAAUAAAGCUAUUCCUUCCUUAUCAGUGAAACACAGUCAUCUACCUUGCAGAUCCUUCUCUCAUUCUUACACGCCAAGCACAAAGAUGGAAAAAUUGCAACAAAAUUCUAACUAAGGCAGCAAAAACUCUGUAUGGAAAGAACACAGAACAGAGGAUAAAUAAAGGUUGCUGGUAAAACCUGGAACUUGCUGUGUUCAGCUAAUCCUUCUAAGGAGUUUUUUCUGUGGAGUUAGAGCAGUGAUUGCACCAAUUACAGGCACACUUCUUCAUGAAAUAAAAAAGAGGGAGAAGGGAAGCGAAGCCAAAGCCUCUGAUUUUCUUCUGGCUGAUCUCAAACUGUAGGAAUUCCCCAAUCAAAAGAAUGCUCUGCUCUACCUAAGGAAAUUAUGUUGAUUAGAAUAAAAGCUCCAGAUGUUAACCCAAAACAGUUUGAAGGGGAGGGGAGAAGGCACGCGAGGUGACCCCACCCAGGGCAGGAAGCACAGUGAGAGCCUCAUACCCAACGCCUUGGGACACAGCCAGGGCUCAGCAGCUCUCACGGCUGUCCUCCUUCUCCCCCAGGCAGAUAUAGGAGCUUUUCCAGUUUAACCCCAACACUUCUUUGCAUCCUUUGACAUGCAUUCUUCAGAAAACAUAUAUAAAUCAGAAUAAAAGUUACAUUGAGAACAGUUUUGUUUGGUUUUGAUUUUUAAAUCCAGAAGCAGCAGAACAACUUAUUUCUCCUUGCUAUUUCCAUGCACUUCGUUCCUCACGUCCCCUUUAGGCUGGGUCUCGGUCAUGGACACCGAGCUAUCUCAGAGAGCACAAAGAGGGUUAAAAGGAAAAGCUCUUGCAGAGCAGACACUGCACUUACAGUGAAGACAAAUGUUUUCAUUUUUUGGUAUAGUUGAAGUAGUUUAACUAUUUGUGAGCUUUGAAAAACAGCCAAAGUAAACCAGAUGCUUGUUGCUCAGGGGUCAGUUACCAGCAGCCAAUUAGGGAAAGCUCUUCUAUUAGUCAAAUUUGUACUUUCCUACCAAUCAGAAUAAUGCUUCUUACAUUAAAUGUUUAGGAAAAUAAAAAGGAAAAAGAGUUAAAGCACUGUCACUCCUUCCUGUCUCAAGGAGGAUUAGUCGUCAUCUGAGUAAGGCUGCAAGAUCAGUGCCUAGAAAGUGAUUUUUCUCAAUCAAGCUUUUUUUUUCCCCCCCUGAAGAAUGACUCAGCUAGAAAUAUGGGAACACCACUGCCUGGCUCCAUAAUCCUGCAAACUUGAGCACGGCUAAACUAUGAUAAUACCUGAUAUGAAUAACAGAACAUGGCCAGUCCUGACAACAUCCAGAGUGAGAAACACAUGCCCUAAACCCAGCCUUCCUCCUGGAGAACACAUCCUACAUCACAGUAUGCUGCUUACAUUACACAAAAUGCAGUUGCUGCUGAGCAACAGCGUAGGUCUGGAUUUAUCAAAGAAUUUUCUCCCUCCCUUUCUGACUGCGUAUGUGCAGUUUCAUAGACAAAGUGCUGGUCAUGGUCUCACAUCACUGACUGCACCACAGAGAUCAGGCUCCUGCACAUCACCAGUUAAUCACAUUCUUGAGGGCUUCUUUGGAAAACAAAGCAGCUCCAGUCUGCGUCCAUUGCUUCUCAAAAGCAUAAGCUAUGCCUUCUUCCUAUCUGAAAAAUUCUGACAGAUGAGCCCUAUAUUCACAUAAGUGAUGCACAUAGCAUUAGCAUACCCUAUGGAGAAGGCAUUUCUGCCCUACUCACAGAAUAUGUGAAAAUUAACAUAUGGCUGCAGACUGAAACAAGAGAAUUCAUAGGCCCGUCUCCUCCCAAGCCCAGCUCCUCCAUGCCUUACAGAAAUCUGCUGCAUUGGAGUCUUUUCACACAGUCUGCU